GANUGCUUGGUAGCGAAGCUAACGCGUGAAAUCGACCGCCUGGGGAGUACGGUCGCAAGAUUAAAACUCAAAGGAAUUGACGGGGANCCGCACAAGCGGUGGAUGAUGUGGAUUAAUUNGAUGCAACGCGAAGAACCUUACCUGGUCUUGACAUGUACGGAACCUUCCGGAGACGGAAGGGUGCCUUCGGGAGCCGUAACACAGGUGCUGCAUGGCUGUCGUCAGCUCGNGUCGUGAGAUGUUGGGUUAAGUCCCGCAACGAGCGCAACCCUUGUCAUUAGUUGCCAUCAUUUGGUUGGGCACUNUAAUGAGACUGCCGGUGACAAGCCGGAGGAAGGUGGGGAUGACGUCAAGUCCUCAUGGCCCUUAUGACCAGGGCUUCACACGUCAUACAAUAGUCGGUACAGAGGGUAGCCAAGCCGCGAGGUGGAGCCAAUCCCAAAAAACCGAUNGUAGUCCGGAUUGCACUCUGCGACUCGAGUGCAUGAAGUCGGAAUCGCUAGUAAUCGCAGGUCAGCAUACUGCGGUGAAUACGUUCCCGGGUCUUGUACACACCGCCCGUCACACCAUGGGAGUGGGGGAUACCAGAAGCAGGU
rnacentral:rRNA from 1 species